AGUUUUCAGAGAACCAGUCGUUCUAGGCAAGCUAUUUGACAAGCAUCAGAAGCUCUCGGCUACUGUCUAAAACAAUCUUCAAGGCUUUUAUUUGAGAAGUUGCCCACCUUAUAUUAAGUUGCAGUAGAGUGACAAUUUUUCUUCAGCUGCAUUCCAGGAAGCCAGAGAGAGCCUCUUGUGACUGAAAGCUGCUGGAACAGCUGGAUCCAAAACAGCCAUACAGCACAUGGCUGUUUAUCUCAAAUUGUUAAGCGCUGACAGAGGUACAGCAACAUCUCGGAAGUGGAAGCAGCACCUGACUGAAGAUGCAGCGUAUUGUGCAACUCGGUUAAUCUGUCUUUUGAACAAAUGACACAGCAAGUCUCAGUGCAUUCUCAGCCUGUGCUGCUUUAUUGCUAAAAAAAUUUGUAUACAGGUGCAGAGUUUCCAAGUUCAUUUUUAAACAGUUCCUCUUUACAGCGUCAAAAGAAUAAAAUCUUAUCUUGAAAUCCUCAAAGAUGCAUAGAUAUAAAAGCAAGCUGCCUUUUGGAAAAAACAUCAGAAUUUGCAGGGAAACAUUCUUUUACUGUUACCAUGUAAAACACGUGCAAUGCGAGCACACAGAUCCUAGCGACACCGGUAAUUGUCUCCACUAACCCACGUGAGUAAUGCCAUCAGAAGUUCAGUGUAAGAAGUCUUCUCCAACCUGGUUUGUAAGUAUUGAGCUAUUUUCAAACAAUCUGUAAUUACUACUUCUCCUUCGCUGUUAGAUCAUGUUUCUCAAAAGGAAGAUAACUUCACUGAAGUCCUAAAGUAGCUUACUCCCCGGGUUUUCUAUUGGAGAGGAUAAGCACGAACAAUGGAUCCAAGUGCUUACUCAUCACACAAAAGAAAACACACAUAACAGUUUAAAACCAUGUGAAAUGUUCUAAAAAAAUACCCAACUCAGCAUUAGGUGGUCACAGUUAACUGCUGGGCUAAACUUGUUUUACCAAUUCCAUUUUGUCUUGAAGAAGUUGGCUCGAAGGAUUUCAUUUAAUCUAACUUCGGUACAGUAAAAUAGUUAAAUCUUCUCUUAUAAUAUUCCUAUAUUUAUUUGGCAAUUCUUGUAUAUCUAGAAAGCAUUUGUGAGAAAAACAUGGCCCCAUUCUAAACCCAAAUCAUGGAGCUUUAUGGAUGGUUGGCUACAAAGCAUGACCAGGAGUUAACUUGACACAAUUCCUUCCUCCGAGACACCACCCCUUUCUGCUUCAGAAAGAGGACCGAGCCCCUGUACACAGAGAAGUUUUCUGCACAAGUUAAGCCCACCUGCAAAAUUAAGCUAAGCUACAAGUAUGGAAUUCUGCAGUAACACGCUAGUAUUCUACUUGAAAAUAGGAAAAGCGUUGGUGACAUGGACUGUGCCACGUUCUACGUUAUUUUCAAACCACCAGCAGAAAUCCACUGCAUUAUUCACUAAAGGACUUGGGAGAUAUUACAGAAAGCAGAAUAAAAGUUUACAGAAAGAUGGCACCCAAGUUCCCUUUUAUUUAAUAAGUGAAAUAAAGAAAAAAAAAGAUUAUAUUGCAACCCGUGUUGCAGAAGAUAAAGACCUUCAGUGAUCAAAUCUCAUUUUCUGAUUUUAAAAAUCUCCUUUUCAAAGAACUUAAAAAAUAUACAAGAUUACCAGUAUUUUCAGUCUUCUCCAAAUAAUUUCUCUCACCACAGACAAGCUUAUUACCUACCGUCUGGCAAAUACUACACUCAUUUUGAGUCUGUUGCUUCUGUUACCAUUGUUCCCUUUUUUCCACCAGUUGCUCCCCCCUGCACCAUGUAAGAAACUCUGCACCCUUUUCUUUGCUACAGCUGCAGCAGGUGAGAAACCUCAUCUCGCCCCUAAACAUGCUUAGUUCAUGCCCUGCUUUAUACAUGCUCAGGGCACUAAUACGAACCAGACAAGAGGUUAUGAAGGCGAGUUCUGCUGAUCCUGGUUCCUGAUUUACAGUUUUGGUGCCAUGCUUCUGACCCUAUCUAUACAUUCUGCCUCCUUCUCUACAGAGGCAGCACAUUCUCUAAAAACAAAAACAAAACAAUCCCAAAAUUUGAGAAUCAAAGCAGGAAGUUCAAGCUAUUGGUAUAUAAUUUCCUAUUGCUUCAUUAUGUAUAAAUGCAUAUCUCCAUUUACUGGUAAUAACUACAUUACACUAGACAUUGUGAAUCAUGCAUAAUUAGAAUACUAGCUCUAAGAUUUGGUUUGUGGGCCUGUGCCAUUUUCCUUCAGUUUCUCCAUGCAGUUCUUCAUGCCUAAGGCAUCACAAACCAGACGCCUUUUAUUUGACCUGCAAACGUGCUCAUUUGGAGGGGAAGAGGAGAAGCAGACAAGACUUACACGGGACACGCUAAACAGUAAGUUACCUUUUAUCCUGAACCUCAGAUGUCGUAAAGCCUUGGGAAAUCUGUCUACAUUACAACCUGGUACGUAGGCUCAGAGACAGAGACACACUCCUUGCUUAUGUCAAGUACACCUACACAUUCUGGAAACUCAGGAGAAAGUGCAGAGCAGAAUGAAAGGGAACAAAUUAUGGUAGUGUUCUGCACUGUCAAAUGAGACACCCUGGUUUGACUGCUGGCUUUUGUGUGCCAAACAAAGUGCUACAGGGGCAAUAUGCUGGAUUGUUCAGUAAAAGAAAAGCAAUGGAAUCCAACUUGAACUGCCAUUAUGCAGCUCUGUACCCGAACAGCAAGCUGGAUUAAGCUCUGAAGGAAGACCAGACUCCUUACUAGAGACGCAGUUAUUUCUAUUUCUGGUAAUCCAUCAAAAAACAUUCUCUUCCAUACUUUUCCAUUUUCUGCUCAAAAACAUACUGCCAGCUCUUGUUAACAUAACCCUCGUAUAACAUGUCAGCGCCCUAAAGCACACUGCAGUUUGUUCUCACUCACUAUCAAGUAGCCUUUGCAAGCCUUUUAUUUUUGCCCUACGUUUGACAAUUACGCUCAGCUGCAGAAGGUGCCAUUUGUCAAGUUGCAGCUCCCAACACAAGCACUGGCUAGACCUACUGCAGCAGCACCACUGGGUAAGGAACGGGAUUUACAUGGAGCUUCUGGGGUUACUACCGCUAAAUGGGUGGUCUCCGUAAUGAUGUCAGUGGUGGGCACUACACUUUUCAUAUCCCACAGUGUCGUAGCAUACAACACUGCUACUUAGUUUUAGAAGCAGCGAAACCAAGGAGUUUAGUUUGGAACAAAAAUCAUGCCGUAACACAGCAACUGAAAGGCAAUGGAAUUUCCUUCGCAGCUGUGAAAACUGAUUUCCAGGAUAGUAUAUACUGACGUCUGAACUGAGAAGAAUAUGCAGAUAGCUUGCCUAGCUACAAGUCUUGAUUUCCUCCCCUCCUCUAAAUUAAUGAGACCUUGAAAAUUUCUGUUCUGCCACAAAGUUCAGAAGCAUGAAGUUUAAACAUGACCAUGUUUUCAUUAUUAAUUUGUUGUCAUGUAAACAUAUUUGCCAAUCACAUGAAAUCUGUGAUUUUUUUAAUGUAGUUGGAUCCCAAAGCUCCCAGUUUUAUCAAUAAUUCACUAGCUGGAAUUUAAGCUGAUUGUAGCUUCCCCAAUCAGUUAGCUUUUCAUGCACAUUGUUUGAACCCAUUUAGACGUGUUUAUGGGUAUUUUGGUUACUUUAUACCAUAAGAACAUUCACAGCCCUUAACAACCCCAACUACCAACUUAUGAAGAGCCAAAAGGCUUCACCCUAUGUCACCUCAGAACAUUCAAAGCCUCCCUUCAGCUGGCAAUUGCAUUCCAAAUUACUUCAGCUUUCUAGAAGAAAUCCAGCCAGAUAGAUCUAAGCUUCUGACGCAAUAAUUCUGUUCAGAAUACAGUACCAUCUGUGGGCCAUAUAGUCUCCACAGACUUCCGUAUCUGCACUGAAAUCAGAGUCAGCUAUGGAUGCUUUGGAACUCCUGUGGCUCUUUUAUGUAACCCUUUGACAGCAAAUGUCUUGCUGGGUGCAGAGGCUACGGCUGUAGAUCAAUAUCCCUUUCUGUAACCAAAGGCUUCACGGUGCUUGCCUCAGCAAGACUUCAAGCACUAACAGAAAUCAAUGGUCUGGAACAGAAUGUUUAGCAAGUCUAAAAUUAUUUUUGCUGUAAAGUAACAUUUUUAGGAUCCUAAAAAUCUCCUUUGGGAUGUACAAAUACUCUCUAUUUUAUUUUUUAAGACCCGUCAUUCAUAUCAAGAUUGGUCUUUUUAAAAAGAAGUACCUACAGUAAAAUUCUAAUUUCAGAAACAGUUUCCUUCCGCAGUCCAGUAUUUGGAAGGGUCUCAUUUCCCUUUAGAGAAGCAGAGCAAGUGUAAGACUGUGAAAAAGAAAAAGAAACGGGGAAACUUCAGCUAUCUGAGAGAAUAUUUCAGAAAGAACUGCCUGCCCUUCCCCAGCACUCACUGACAGUGCUUCAGAUAUGUGACACAGCUCAAGAGUAGUAUAAGGUUAAUUAACUAAGUAUUCAAGUGCCAACCAAAUUCCCUCCAACGAGAGGAACACUAAGAGGAAUUCACCCAUCUUAGGAAAAGAGACUUUCACCCAACUCCCUGUAGCACAGAGCGCCACAAACUUAUUUGGUUAUUACCCACCUACUCUACUGUACAGCCUUGCUAAUGCAAGUUAUUUACUAUCACAUGCAAAACAGUUAUUGCUACUAAAGUUCUAUUUUCUUAUUAAAUCAUCUUAUGGCUUUGUUUGCAUCAGGGAUUCUUCCCCCUACAUACUGUGCUAUUUUGCAUUCCAGUUUCAGAGGUAUUUUUCAAUUGAUUCUCCCAAGCACUAAACUACUUUAUUCAAUGGUACAGCUACUUCUGUUCAGAAUUGAACCUAAAUGAGCACAAGUCCCCCAGAGCUCUGCUGUAAAUGGCCCAACCACCCAAUUUUCUUGGCAACGCAUUAGAUGCAGAGAGGUGGGGGGACGCUGUUAUCUACACUAACUCUGCAAGGAUUACUGGUUUUGCACCAAAGAACAUGCUACUUGAUUAAUUACUUUAGAGAUAUAUCCUAUUAAAAUUACAAAACCGAGCCACCCAUUCCAUCCCUCCUCCUAAUGGCCAUUUAGAGGCAUGUCUCAGGAAAAAUAAGAUGCAGUAUCCUCUCUAAACUGACGAGAGAACUUUGUUCUUGUAAAGAGAGAAGUGAGUGAAGAGCAACACUGGCACCAAAUAAAAGAGUUUUUUUCCCAAGGAAGUCAGAGGAUGCCAUCCACAGAGCACUACACACCUCAGGAAUCAUACCAAUCUCCUAUUUGACCAGCCCAAGCUGCCCACUGAGUGCUAAAUCAUUUCAACUUCCCCCAGUUUAAGUUUUCCUUCUGAAAAAAGCAGAGGGAGAGACGUAAGUUAUUAAAAUUGAGAUUAGCUGGAAAGCAAUGCUGGAAGUUACCCAAAAUACAAGAUACUGAAUCCUCAAUAGUACAGAGGUGGGGAAUCUAUGAUCUGUAGGCUAGAUAUUGCCUGCUGAACAGAUACAGGCUGCAAUGUUGUUUUUCAACAGCCCUUAACCUUAUUAUAUUCUCUCUUAUUAAGAUGUGUGUAAAUGCAGGAUCCACCAAAGGUGUUAAAAGAUUCAAUAGGACUUCAGAAAAAAAAACCUAACCAUUAUUAUAGGAAUUAAGUCUUUAUGUAAGAUUGGCAGAUAGCAUUUCGCAGCUAGUUACUAAAUAAGUGAAAGUAAUGUUUAACUGGUUAUUACAAUUACAUAAUCAGAUUUGAAAUGUAUGUAUGUUUUUAACUUAACAGAUUUUCUAAAUAAUAUUAAGGUAGCAGAGAGGUGCACAAAAUGCACACUAACUCUUCAGCAUAUUCAUAAUUCUGAUAAUAUCAUACGAUGGGUAGUAAUAAAACUGAAAAUGCUGCUCAUAGAAGAAAACACCUUCAACAAAGACUAAAAAGAAAAGAAUAACCUGUGACAGAGAUGAGAAUUCUGGAUGCUUACAUACACUACAAAGAUACGCUGAAAACAAAACAUUAAUGAUUCUAUGAAGCCCGUUCUAUUCCUAAAGAUAGCAUUAUCAUUGCCAAAGGGAGGAUACUGCAUACUUAGACCAUGUUUGUGACAUUUCUACUGUAUCCUUUCUAUUGUUAAUUACAUUAUCAUCACGGUUUAUUAAUAAAUUUGUCACUCUGAAAUUGUAAAAAUACUACUAGGCUCAUGCACUGAUCCUAACAUGGCACUACUGUUUGCUACAAAGCACUAAUGCUUAUGGAACUAUACACAUCUCAAAAUGGAAGACAUUGGUGAUUUUGUUGUUUUCAAACAACUUGUAACAUCAUUUUGUCCACAAGUAUUAAAAUAUAUAUAUGUAUAUAUAUAUGAUCUAUUGCACAUGCCCCUUGUUUCUGUCAUCUUUCACACAGGAAGAUUUCCAACCAACACAGAGAAAAAGUGGAGCAAGAAAAAGUAAGUAGGCUGAGGCAGCAUUUCCUAACAGCGGUUUUAUAGGAAGCCGCUGGAAAGGUAUGGCAGUGGGGUCUUCUGGGCACGCAUUAUUGGAGUAUUACUUCUGCGAAAGCCACAGAUCUUCAGCCCCGCUAAAAACGUUAUGUUCUAAGCUACAACUUGAAAACUAACGUUGUUCCAUUGCCGGGGUUAGAAGUCAGUUCUAUUUUUUUUGUUACAACGCAGGGUUACAAAAUGUUGAGGGUUAUUCUUACACAAGUGGCAACCAAAGGGCUGAAAGCGUCUACUCUCUAGUCAGAAAGGUCUUUAAGUUUUUGUUCAUAUCCACAGAAGAGGAAAAGUACAUUCCUGUCCCUCAAGUAUUUUGUUAUCAAGCUAUGCAAGAAAUCAACUGCUAGCUCUAAUGUCAGAAAGACAAGCAUGGGCAGAAGGAAGUAAAGGAAAUGCCAAGAUUCAAGAUCAGAUGAUUCCUAUACUAGACACCUUCCAACACAUAAUCCUAAGAUAUUAAUAGUAUUUUCCAUCAGAUAGAGAUGGAUCCUGCUUCUACAGACAUCUACUAUGCUAGAUGAUUCCUAUUGGUUUCAACAUAAGGAGGUUCUAAAUGAAAAGCGUGCUUCUCUAGACGCAUCUCGUACCAGAAAAUUCAGAUCACAUUCAGCAAAGAAAUCCCAUAUUCUUAAAAUAAAUCAAGCCAAGUUGGUGGUUGCCUCAACAGGAUUAAUAUAACUCAUCUAAACUAAUAAAAGGAACACAGUUCAUCACAAUAUUGCAUAUAAUUUAAGUGCACCUCUACUUGUUACAGUGGGCAUAAUUUUGAUACGCAGUGUCUUAACCACCCUGCUUAGCUUGCAUGUCUCCAUGAAGAUCAGACCAAAACAAACGGGAAGGGCUUUCAUUAAAUCUUAUUGUUACAAUGCAAGUCUAAACACAGAUCUAACGUUACCCCAAGGAACAGGAUCAGUACCAACAUCUGUCCUUCUGCUAUGGAAACUCGGUCCCCAUAACAUUUCACCACGUUUUAAGUUUCAGAAUACUGCCCUUGCAAUCUAUCAGUAAGAUUUAAGAAAGAUUUCAACUGUUGGCUCUUCCAGCCAUUUUCAGGCUGUCUGGCUCUCUCCAGUAGUUUUCUGAAACAAAAAAAAAACAAAACAAAACAAACACCCCACCACCUAACCAUGCCGUUAUUCCCCAAAACAUAGUGCUAGAACAUAUAUCCCUUAUUUGAUCCAAAUUUAAAAAUAUUUUAAGCUAAAUCAUUUUGUAAAUUGCAAGUUUGGAUUAAGGUGCACUAAGAGAUCCAGACUUGAAAUGGAGAUUAGUUUUUGCCAAGAAAUCUUACUUGCCAUAUAUAAUACCAUAGCAAGGAGCAUGUGAACAGUAUAAGAUCCCACCUGAAAAUGAUUGAAAAUAUCUUAUAUAAUCACAAACAAUGGAGACAGAGAACCCUGUGUAAACAUAAGAACAACAGAUAGCGCCUUAAUUUGGGAAGGAAUAAGAACCACCAGAAAAAGUCCCAACCCUAAGCAUUUUUACUCUCUCUCAACUCGUACCUCUUACAUGGCUGAGCUCAUUCUGGGCGGAGACGAUGGAAACAUACAAAUCAUCUCAGUUCUCAGUCACAAAAGAAUCAAAAAUCGGAUUCCAUCAGCGCUAUGAAAAAGCUGAAUCUGUGUCAUGGAAGCUGCAGGGCGUAAGCUGCAGCUUUAUACCUCAGGUCUCCUCCAUCUCACCAGAAGUUAAUUUCUUUAAUAAAGAAAGAAGUUCUGUCACAUCUUUUCAACUGUAGAAUGGUUUUGUUCCUUUUGCUGCUGAGGAUCCAUAAAAAGCCCAAAGGAGGGAAUGAUUAAUGUGAACUUAAUCAUUAUCUUGUAACCUUAGAGGUCUUUAAAGCUUCAUUUUUCUUUGCUAAAAAUGAAGUGGUGCAGAGUAAUUUCUUCUUCUGCUCAAAGUUCUUCAUAGCCAGAACUUAUGUGGGUUUAUACAUGCAAAUAUACAUUUUGAUCACAGAUUGGGAUGACGCUGUUACACACCACAGACAAGGUGAUUCUGCAUUUGUUCCUGUGCAUUAGCUGCUUUGUGUGAGUUAACAUCAAGAUAUUUAUCUACAGAGUCAAGUCAGGAUCCUGAACUACAAAAUACCUGUUAUGUGUGGGACUUCUCCAGUUGCUUGGCAAGUUUAUUCCUCAUAACAGAGCAGAAAGUAUGUCCUGGUUUCCUGCUGCAUACACGCCAAGGUUGACAGGGCAAUGCAUGCAGAUACUUUAUAGGCCAGGAAUUCCAAUAUGACAUACUGAAGAACUUAAUCUUCUGAAAAUGAGGAAGGUAUCAGUGAAGAACACCAGCUGCAUCCGAUUGCAAAGUUUUUUCUCAUUUUAAAACAGAGUGCAAAAAGCUGGAUGAAGGGCUGGCACUGAAGACAUUUCUUCAAGGAAACUAAUGCUGACUUCUGUUACUUUGUUUUUGAGUUCUGAUGAAACAGUAGGGUCCUUCUGUAGGAGAAGUAAUCUCAGGAAUCAAAUGUUGGGUGAGAUGGCUGACACUAGAAGGGAAGAGAUCUUUGUUCAUUCAGCUCCGUGGAAGUGAAGGACAGGGUUUUGCUCACUAGAACAGAAACAGCCUACAAGCAAGCAAAAGGACAACACCUUAAAUAUCAGGAGAGGAUCUGGAAUUCCAAAAUGAAAAGGAAGAGAGGUAGUUUAGGAAACAGAAUAAAAUGUACUUUACAUUAAUAUACUUGCUGGUUCAUCACUUAAAAAAAUCUUUUCUAAUGGACAAAAUUAGUUGGCUUCAGACUGCAAUGAUCCCUCGUUCUAUGAGAUUUUACAUCUCAUUCAGAUGUCCAUAAACUGGCUAAUGAUAUACUAUAGAAAUAAUGAACUAUGCACUUCGAAGCAGUACAUCCAAAAAUACGCCAGUGUUAAUACGCUAUGGGACUUCUCAACUGUGGCUCUGACAUAUGCUAUGAGAGCGUUGAGAUAGCAUCAGAAUGCACACAGACAGAAUAAAUUCUGCUAUAGCAGGUCACAAUUCAAAGAGACACUCUAAACUGUUACCUAAUUAACGACAAAACUGUCAGGGCUGUAGCGGAAAAAAGCACUUAUGACAGCUGUAAAAUCACACAGAUUAGGUGGGGUUUCUUUUCCCCACUCAUUUUCUCCACGCUUGUCCAUGGUGUAGACAUAGUUCAACAACUGCCAUCUUGUCACUGAUCUCCUGGCCUUUCUUCAGUGACACACCCAGAAUCACAUAGUCACAGAAGCUGUUAAAACACGGUUUUUUUUGCUUUAAGGUUGAUGCCAGCCUGGAUUAGAAGGUAACAUGAGUACAAUCCUGCACUCUCCUGUAUAAUGAGAGAUGUGGAAAAAGGAAGCAUUUUUUUCUCUUUAGUUUCUUUCUCAGAUAUAAGAGCAUGAAGAUACAUCACAUUUUCUAACUUCUCCCAUCCCUCCCUUUUCCUCUGAUCUGUCCUUGUGUGUUUUUCUCAUAUUACUCUAAUUACCUUAAUCCUUUAGUUGUUCAGAAACAAUCUUCAGGUAAUAACUUUCAACUCCUAUGUUAGAAGUAGCGAGUAGACUGUGAAAAUGGCAAUACAGCACACCAUCAUCACCUUCUUAAUGAGGCACGCAAAUAUUUCAGCGGAUCAUGAGCUUGAGUAUCCAUGUCCACAACUGAUGGGAAAGUCUUAUUCUUGUCAUGAAGGUGAAGAAAAACAAACCUGGAGAGAUGCAAAAAACAUGCCAAAAAUUUGUGACAAAGCUGAGAAUGGAAUCUAACAGUCUGUUAUAUAUCUUAACUACCAGAAUAUGUCUACUUCAUUUACAGGGAAAAAUAAAUCAAAAUGCUACAAGUUGAUUGCCAUGCCCAGACAUUUUGAAUUUACUUCCUUUUACUUGAUAAUUGACAUUUGGUUACAUUACUGUUCUUCCAAUCCUUCUGUUUAACAAACCUACAUUUGAGAUAACUAGUCUAAGAUAAUGCAAUGACACAUGAUAACGCUGUCUCUUAGCAGAGUAAAAUGACAACAUGGAUCAUGUUCUUAAUAACUUAUUAAAGCAUUUAUUUCUGUUAGUGUAUACAUCAUUAAAUCAAGGUUUAUUCCAAGCAAAGCCCAAGUUGAAAUUGAUGCUGAGACAAAACUCCAGUUCUCUGAAAGGAUCCUAAGUUUUUCUUAAAAUCCCACUAACUGAUGUAUUCAAUAAGGGAAAAAAAGAAAGGAGGGGAAAGAGGGGAAGGAAGAGAAAGAAGGAAAGAAACAACAAGCCUGUUAAGCUUAGUGUUUUAUAUUUAGUACCUAAAUAAUCUUUUGGUUCACUCACCACUAUUUUUCAACACUCAACAUACUCUUCAGAGAAUCUAGAGAGAAAGAGAUGAAAAAAUUAAAUGAAAUUUGCAUCUAGCAAGCUAUUCAGAUAAUAGAUUAUUAUUUGCACAAGACACAGAAGAUCAACUACAUCUUCAAGGAACUAGUUAACAUUUUUAGACAUGCUACAUUAAACAUGUUACUUUUCAGAUGAUUGCAGCUACCGCCUUCUUUCAGUCUAAGGGAAAGGAUGGUUAAGUGAGUCAGGGCUAAGUAUGGAAGGCCUGGGAUGGGAAACUUCAAUAGGAUGGAGUGGGAAGCACAUGCCCAAAACAUGCCUGAAAAGCUUUGCUUCAGAAACUGUUCUGCUUCCUGAAGUAGAACCGUGUGCAUCGUUCCUUCCACAGAAUGUAGUAUACGCAGUACUGAAGUACCUUCUCCCCUGGAAUCUGUUUUUACUGAUAACAGCCUACAGCCCAUAUUCAACUCAUUAUAUCUGGAGAAUUAAGUAUACACCAAUGCUCAAAUUAAUUGAUUGUUUUUUUUCAAAAUAUAUACAAGUUUAUAGUAAGCAAUAAGCAACAUGUGCCAAUUUCAUAGGAACUGAGGACGACACAACAAUUUCAGCCUCCAGUAAGGCAAGGAACUCCUGUGUUAACAUAAACCACUACAGCAAGGAAUCACAAUGCCUUUUCUCAAGGAUGCUGAGCCACCAGCUUAAAUUACAAGUGUACUGUAUUGCUCUGAGCACAUCUCUCAGAUCAUGAGAAACUACUGGUAGCCUCACCAAAGUAUCCCCGAGCUUUCACCCUCCUACACAACACUGUACCGCUGUAUUUCUGCAAGCAGCAGAGACCCACACCUCCAAAAAACCUGCACUGAGCAGACGAUCCCCAGCACUGGGCUUCAGGCUGCUUGGACCAUCCUCCUGUUGUCAGUUCUGACCCCCCUGAUUUGAGCCCUCCACAAGAACUUGACGAGUACUGUGCAGCUUCAAGAGGCUGAGGAACCAAGAGUAACUGAUUAUCAAAACAAUUAAUUUGAUAAGUAACACUUAUCUAAUUCUCCUAGCUUACUUAUCAAGCAAAUGGAAACAAGACAUUUUCCAUUAUCAGCCAUUGAGAAAUUGGGUCUUCCUUCACUCGUUCUAAACCUACAACUUAAGAAAGUCUUAUUACAAAAAGGCAGCAGGUGACACACAGUAACUCAUGCAAAACAAUGUCUCACCCAAUACUGAUUAUUUAUUUUAAGUUCACUGAUUUUGGAUGCCCCAGUUUUUAACCAGUCUUCUUGAUAUACCUUCUAUCUGAUUUCCAUAGAUGAUGUGGGAGAAGGUUCACAACAGCAUCAAAAGAACUUGCUAAUGCAACCAGAUAUAAAUCAAGGUUAUAUAAAAUUAGCAGGCAGUGAAACUGACAGUGACAGCAGCAACUCUGUAAGUAAAAUCUACUGGAAAUGCAGGGAAAAAAAGUUAUUUUUCUUGUGUCAUACAUUAAUUCUGAACAUAUAAUCUAGAACAAGAAAUACUUGUGAAAACUCAGCAUUAUAUUUAUAGAUUCUUUCCUGUUAAACAUUUUGAAACAACUAUUUUACAACAUUUUGAUCUACUGCCCGCUCAUAUUUCUUUUGCUCUACUGUAACUAAAAGUUAAUUUCCAUGAACUUUGGGGAGGAAAAGGUCAAUGUGUUGACAUAUUCAGCACACAAGAAGUAGAAUGGACACUAAAAUGAAGAAUAUCAGGAAGGAAAAACUUAGAAACAGGCUUAUGGAAAAGGGUCACAGAGACAAACGAAAGUUAUAUCUGAUGGAGAUAUGUCAAAAUACAUAAAGCAAAAUCAGCAGUUAGGAUGCCAUGUCCACUGAGGUCUUUCCAAUAGCUUAAAGUGCCAAAUGUAACCAGAAAGCUGAUAAUGACAAAAGCUUAUAUUACAAGACAGAAGUAACAAAAUCAUAGUAUAUUUAUGUAUAUCUAUAUCUAUCUAUCUAUCUACAUACAUACACACACACUAUCACAGAGCAGGGACAGGGCUCUGGGAAGGCCUUGCAUUACCAGCACCCUAGUUAGUAGGCCCUCGGGUGCAUCCUUCUGCAACUUCAGGAGACGCCCACAUCAGAAACAGAAAACAGUGACAAUUCACAGAGUAGGACAGGGUGGAGGGACAGAUCACCGUCAGCUCCAAAAGGACACGCUGAUGUACACCUACAGUACAGAACAGUCACCAUGUCGGGAGUCCAUAGGACAUAAGGACUUGCCAGCUGAUGUCCCUUGUCCUCUGCAAAAGAUCCCUGACUGCUAGACUGAGGGAGUAAACACUCCUGCCGUGCUCCCUUGGCUGUUGGACAGACAUCUCAGGCACUGCACACAUCCAGCUGUUAGUUAGAUUGCAAGACUAAGUCACUGUAACCUGUUUCUAUCUAAAAUAAAUUUACCUUCACCUCCUCCGAGGUUCCCAAGGAUAUUUCCUGUCUUUUUGGUACACUGCUAUUUCCUACACCAGUAAAUAAAAUAGGGAAGGCUGUUUCACAGCUGCAAUUUCUAUACACAUCAUAGUGAUGGAACAGAUAGGUCCUAUGGCUCUCUGAAUACUUUUUAAGCAAAGAAACAUCCUUAUUUGCAUGUCCCAUUUUAGGGAAACUGUAUGGGCCUCCCAUUCAGGUAACCACCAGCUCUGCUUUCAAACAUCAUUUCUCUUCUAGUUUUACAGAAUGAACGUGGGAGGCGUUGAGGAGAUACUCCAGACUCUUCACAGACUUGGUCAGAAGUUCAGCCUCAGUCAGCCCCUGAUUUUUGACAUCCCAAUGUGAGGUUACCUUUGUAAGAUGCACAGCUUGUGCACACAUCGCACAGGCUCACAGCACCACAAGCAAGACCGUAAAGCAGUGCACUUUGUCAGCAUGGCAUGCACUAGGGUAUCAAAAACUCUAAUUUCUUUUUGUAUGACUUCUGAGAGUUUUUCAGCAUUCAAAGCAAUUAAGAAUACAUAUUAAUCCAAAUGUAUUUAGUUACUGCCCAAAACUGUACAGCUUCACGUGAAGAAAGCUGACAGCUCACCACUGUUCUAGUUAUAGCAUAAAGAAAAAAGAUCUUUAUACAUUAUACGAUCAAGGCAAAUCACUUGGUGUAUUUCAAACAUUUCAUUUCAAACCAUUCAUACAUAGACAUGUCUAAGCAGGUAUUGCGCAGCAGCCCUAACACUAUGUUGCUCACAAGCUGCUCUUACUGUUACUAGGAGAAUGAUACAGCACAAGGCAUGUAAACGUGCCAUAGCACAUACACGGCGUUCCUUAGGAAAUGGUCUCAGAAGUAGCUACUGCUUUUAGAACUAGUUGCCAAAUCACACUUACAUUUCUUCCAAGCUAUUCCAUUGGUUACAAACAAAUUUCUUAUUAUCAGGUCACGCAAGAUGACACCCCACGUCUAUACAGGAUCUAAAACUUCUCAUUUAGCCACUUCAGUGGCUUUCGUUUGUUUGCUUUUUACUUUCACCUGAUGUUCACAUUGAAAAUGUAGCCACUUGGAACUCUGUAACAAACUACAUUUAAAUAACUAUUAUAAAACACAAAACAAGGAACUCUAUGCUAGUGACAGUGUCUGACUCGCAUACGCAGAGGACAGGAGGUUUUCAGCGGUAGCUUAACGGUGGUAAGGCCAGGCCCUUUUCCUUUGCCCACCUCCCCUGCAGCUGCCACCUGUGCCGCCCGGCUCCCAGCGAACCACGCUAUCGGUACAGUCUCGUCACGAAGUUACUUUGCCCCGUGGAUCGCUCCCGCGUUCCGACGCUGUCGGAUCACUCGGAGCCACCGCGUCCCGCCGUCCUGCGGCAGGAUGGCACGGAGCCACCGGACGGCAGCGUAACCGCCCGGCUCAGGCCCCCUG
rnacentral:lncRNA from 1 species